UUUCAACGCACUUUGUAGGGCAUCGUUGAUCGAGACUUUCCUCGAUUUCCCUCGCAUUUUGUUGAAGCAUCGUGCGUCCCAGGAAUGAUCUUCUGGACAAUUCCCGUCCAAUUGUAGUUGUUGGUUUUACUUCACGAAAAUGGCUGGCUCUCAAACUUUCGGGUUCUCGCGGUGAAGUGGGGUGUGCGUGUGUGCCGGGAACUGAAUCUUCUCGGGAAUUAGCAUCAUUCUUGUCGUUGAUAGAGGUAUUGUGGCGAUGGCGACGCCAAUUAGAGAUUCCCGGUGGAGCGAAUUAUUCAGAAAAUUUCAGAAAUUGGGCUUCUUUUAUGAUGGUUUGACUAUCAGGGGCGCCAAUCUGCGCAGGACCCUUGCCUCAUGUCUUAGUCCGAUUUUAAGCAAUUGCAAAGGAAAUCGCCACGGUCGGUAGUCGAUUUUAAUGUCGUAGCUUUGGAUUCCGAACCUUUGUAGAGGGAAUUCUGAGGUCGGUUUUUGGCGUUGAUUUAGUAAAGUUUUAAACGUCUGAUCUAGAUGUUGGUUCACAUUCGUGUUAAAUCGCUGCUCCUGGAUUCUCUGUGUAUGCUCGCUGCUAUUGUGAGUAUGUUUUACGUCUUUUGAGAAGAGCCUUUUGAAAAUUACAAUCACCUCUGCAAAGAGCGACCAAAAAAUGAUUGGAACUCUUGACCUAAGAAAUUAUUCUUGAAUUCGUGGUCCUGAACACAUCACUUGCAGUCGUGUUUAUUGAUUCAACGCUGGCAACGUCAUAGCUUGCUUGGUCAUUGACUUCGCAUGCUACUUUAGUGGGUUGGAUUUCAUGACUUUUCAUUAGUAGUAACUAUGGUGCAUCAGCUUUAUCAAGGGAGGGAAAAUGACGCAACACGUCUUUUGUGAAUAUUGAAUCUGUCAGCAGGGACGUAGCAGAACAGACAACGUAACCGUGUGAUAACAGAUUGUUGACAAAAUGCACUUCAGGAAUUUUGAAGAAUAUUGGCCUUUCUAUGUCAAUCAACACACAAAAAUAUCGACACGAAGAUGGCACUUCUGUGCGACCGGCUUAGCAGCUGUAUUUACCAUAGCUGGAAUUGUAAUAAAAUGGUGGCUUCUGUUCUUUGCUCCUCUGUUUGGGUUCGGGCUUGCUUGGUACAGCCAUUUCUUCAUUGAAGGCAACAAACCGGGCUCUUUCGGUCACCCUAUAUGGUCCUUCAUUUGCGACUACAAGAUGUUUAUCUUGAUGCUCACUGGCCGGAUGGAUCGUGAAAUAAAGCGGCUAGGGAAAAGGCCCAUGCUUCAGGAGGAUGAAUACAUGGUCGGAAGGAGAUACUUCGAUGCCAAGCAAGAAAAUAGGAUUGUUCUACGGCGACAAACCCCCCGAGGCCGUUGAAGCUCUCAGUUGUAGGAUGGUAGACGAUUCUUGGAGUUGUGCAUUAUGGAAUGGAGCGGGCUUGUUAGUUGUACACAACCUUUCAGCUGGGCAUUUCUGUGAACAAAUCUCAGAACCUGAGCAUUUGAAGAUGUCACUCGGUGGCUUUCCCCUUGCUCGACUUAUCGCCAACCCACGGAAGAAUGUCGUAGUCACAAAUCAGUACUUCAAUGUUCUAUGUGCAAGUUGCAACGAGAUCGGAGGGCAGUUUUCAUCACAACUUUGCCCGAGGAUACUAUGAUAAAUGGAAGCGCCAUCGAAAGUACUCCCAUGCAUUUUUGGCGUGAUCUGCUUCUGCUCACGUAAGUGCUUGUAGAAUCACCGGACUCGUCUUAGCUUCAAUACUUGACAAUUGAGGUCGAAAUUGAGAUUCAGGAUGUAAUUUUUCAACUAUCCUGAGAUGUAAGCAAAGAUCCCACUCAACCUGAUUUCGAAGUAUAGCAAGACGUUUCCUACAUUCUGAAUCAAAUACUAUGAAGAAUUAAUUUCAGUCUGCGUAUUAA